rnacentral:rRNA from 1 species
GACGAACGCUGGCGGCGUGCCUAAUACAUGCAAGUAGGACGCACAGUUUAUACCGUAGCUUGCUACACCAUAGACUGUGAGUUGCGAACGGGUGAGUAACGCGUAGGUAACCUGCCUAUUAGAGGGGGAUAACUAUUGGAAACGAUAGCUAAUACCGCAUAACAGUAUGUAACACAUGUUAGAUGCUUGAAAGAUGCAAUUGCAUCGCUAGUAGAUGGACCUGCGUUGUAUUAGCUAGUAGGUAGGGUAAAGGCCUACCUAGGCAACGAUACAUAGCCGACCUGAGAGGGUGAUCGGCCACACUGGGACUGAGACACGGCCCAGACUCCUACGGGAGGCAGCAGUAGGGAAUCUUCGGCAAUGGGGGCAACCCUGACCGAGCAACGCCGCGUGAGUGAAGAAGGUUUUCGGAUCGUAAAGCUCUGUUGUAAGUCAAGAACGAGUGUGAGAGUGGAAAGUUCACACUGUGACGGUAGCUUACCAGAAAGGGACGGCUAACUACGUGCCAGCAGCCGCGGUAAUACGUAGGUCCCGAGCGUUGUCCGGAUUUAUUGGGCGUAAAGCGAGCGCAGGCGGUUUGAUAAGUCUGAAGUUAAAGGCUGUGGCUCAACCAUAGUUCGCUUUGGAAACUGUCAAACUUGAGUGCAGAAGGGGAGAGUGGAAUUCCAUGUGUAGCGGUGAAAUGCGUAGAUAUAUGGAGGAACACCGGUGGCGAAAGCGGCUCUCUGGUCUGUAACUGACGCUGAGGCUCGAAAGCGUGGGGAGCGAACAGG